AUCCUUCCAUCCAUCUAUCCUUCCCUCCCUCCUUCCUUCCUUCCAUCAAUCUGUCUUUCUUUCCAUCCAUCCAUCCAUCUGUCCUAUUGUGCUGUUUCUCUGAAGACCCCUGACUGACACACACCUGUUUGCAGAGCACUGGAUGAGGAAGUGUGGUGGAAGUGGGAGGCCAGGAUAAUGAUUUAGCCUAAAGAAUUUACAUUUGAGUAAUGAAGCUCUUCCUUAUUUUAAGCUAAAUGUGCUUCCCAUAUCUUUUGUUCAUUAUUUCCUGCUUCUGCCCUCAGAGGCCACGGACCCUCACACCUCCAGGAUCUCGACCUCCCAGGGGGUGAAUUGUUUAAGGAUGAUCAAAGCCACUGAACUUUUCUACUGCCAUGCACCCAGGUGAAAUAUCCCCAUUUCCCUCUGAUGACCAAUUUCCAGAUCUUGUUGUUUGCCCCAAAUCUUGUUAUAUGUCACACAGCAAACAUUCCUUUCGGGGGGAUUGUGCUAAUGGACAAUCUUUAGUUGUUUAGGUUUCCAUACACAGAAGCAAAGAUUAAUGAGUGAAAGAUGCUCCUUAACUUCCAUCCUCUGUGUUUUGUGAAUGCUGUCACUGAGUUCUACAGCAUACCAGGUGCGACCCUGGACACACAUGGAAACAAUCUCUACUCCUGGUCGAGUACUGGCCUCUGUGGCAAGGAUUCCCCACGACUACCUUUGUACAGACGCCUUAGGAUCUGAGCCUCGCAACGUCCCUCACAGAAGGGUCACAGCUGGCAGGACGAUCCCCUCGACCUGGGCUUCCCACCUCGCAGGAGCCCCAGACCAGCCUGAGCCAGCACUGGAGCUCACACAGGGCGAGGAGGACCGAAGGCUGUGCCGUGGCUCCCACUUUAGGAAGCAGAGUGGCCAGAUCCUGAUGGAGACCCUGCAAAUGCCAGUCUGUGUGUUAACCAAACAGUUUGUCUUGUUUUUCUUUCUGAUAAUUUUGUCUUCGGAGCCAUGUGGGGUUGGCGGCUGUAUUGUGAGAAAAUACCACAUGAAAUACUGGACGGAAAAUGGUGGAAACAAGGGCAUUCGUUAGAAAGCUUUCUUUGCCAAGGUUCAGCUUUCCUUCUUGGCCUCUGAAUCUCUGACUUUGAUACUCAUGGCACAAAUCAUGAGUUCAAGCUUUUCUGUUGUUUCUGUUGUUGAGAGAACCAAAGACUCAGAAUUGUUGAUUUUAUUUUGAUUUCUCAACUCACUUCUUGUGGAUCUCAGCAAUGGUUUGUUUAAAACUAUUUCUGUGACCAUUGUACCCACCGUGUUCAGCUGCUGAUUGCAGACUGAACAAAUGCUGGGGCUGACCCGGGGUCUUCACUGACUCGACGAGUUUCCCUGGAGAGGUGCUCUCAUGGGAUUACAGCCUGGCAGCCUGCUAUGGGUUGAGUUGUGUCCCCCAGAAAGACACAUUGAAGUCCUACGUCCCAGUAUCUGAGAAUGUGUCACUAUUUGAAACUAGGAUUGUUGAGAUGUAAUUAGUCAGGAGUCAGGUGGGACCUUGAUCCAAUGUCUCUAGCUUAGGGCAAGUCUUCUCUUGCAAAAAAAAAAAGUAAUACAAAAAAGAGGGAAGAUGAUGUGAACAACGAUACACAGAGAAUGGCCACGUGAUGAUGGAGACAGAGAUUGGAGUGAUGCAUCUACAAACUAGAGAACCCCAAAGAUUCCUGGCCACACUGGUAGCUGGAAGAGGCCAGAAGGAUCCACCUCUAGAGCCUUCAGAGGGAGCACGACCCUACUGACACCUUGA